AGGACGAACGCUGGCGGCGUGCUUAACACAUGCAAGUCGAACGGAAAGGCCCUUCGGGGUACUCGAGUGGCGAACGGGUGAGUAACACGUGGGUGAUCUGCCCUGCACUUUGGGAUAAGCCUGGGAAACUGGGUCUAAUACCGAAUAUGACCUCAGGAUGCAUGUCUUGUGGUGGAAAGCUUUUGCGGUGUGGGAUGGGCCCGCGGCCUAUCAGCUUGUUGGUGGGGUGAUGGCCUACCAAGGCGACGACGGGUAGCCGGCCUGAGAGGGUGUCCGGCCACACUGGGACUGAGAUACGGCCCAGACUCCUACGGGAGGCAGCAGUGGGGAAUAUUGCACAAUGGGCGCAAGCCUGAUGCAGCGACGCCGCGUGGGGAUGACGGCCUUCGGGUUGUAACCCCUUUCAGCACAGACGAGCGCAAGUGACGGUAUGUGCAGAAGAGCACCGGCCAACUACGCGCCAGCAGCCGCGGU
rnacentral:rRNA from 1 species